AUACGGAGGGUGCGAGCGUUAAUCGGAAUUACUGGGCGUAAAGCGUACGUAGGCGGUUGGUUAAGUUAGAUGUGAAAGCCCCGGGCUUAACCUGGGAACUGCAUUUAAAACUGGCGAACUAGAGUUGAGUAGAGGGGAGUGGAAUUUCAGGUGUAGCGGUGAUAUGCGUAGAGAUCUGAAGGAACACCAGUGGCGAAGGCGACUCCCUGGACUCGAACUGACGCUGAGGUACGAAAGCGUGGGUAGCAAACGGGAUUAGAUACCCCAGUAGUCC
rnacentral:rRNA from 1 species